CAUUGAGCUGGUAAUCCAUUGUGGGGAGAAACAGAUCUAACAAUGACAGUAAGCUGAUAAACAUGGGAAACAUCAGGGGUUGAAUUGACUGAUAAACUAAAAUAACCUGCCUAUCUGAAGUCACUCGGUAUUGCUUCUUGAACUGUAUUAGCCAUCACCUGGAUAACCUCGUCGCAUAUGGCUUUGGAUAAGUAAGGGUGACCAAAGCCUUUACCUCCAUACCGAUUUAUGUGAGCACACAUGAAGGGAUCAAAUCUGGCAAUUAAUUCAAGCAAUUCCAGAAAGUUACCAUUAUUUGGUGAACUGAAUUCCUGAAUUUUAUUUCCCCUAAAUGCCAAGCCACAUUCUGCCAAAAGAGAAAUCAGUGCAAUAACUCACUGAAGUACGUGCCUCCAGUAAUCCUGCUCGUUUUGAUGUGAGCAUGUGAUCAUGCUUCCUUGUUAAGCAUGUUAGCAUAGGGGUAAUAUGAUUUUUAGAGUUUUUGUGGGUUCAAACAACAUAAGUGUGAUGCUAAUAAUCAAAGUCAUUAGAAGAUAAAGCUGUAGUUCAGGUAGUUAGGUUAGAGAAAAAUUUGCACACAAAACAGUAGACUUUUCCUGUUGUGGGAGAAUACAUUAGCCAUUCCUGAGGGUAGGUUUUUCAAUUUACUUUUGGUGGAAUAGAAUCAAUCCAGAAUAUUUUCUCGUUAUUCAACAUGGUCCAUAAACCUACAUCAUUAUUGUCUCUGAAAUAACUAGUUAGUAAUUUUGUGUCUGCGGUGUUGGGGUUUUCGCUGAGAUCAUUUGCUUUGUUUCCCAAUUCUUUAAGAUUGCAUUAAGCUUGAACUGCUUCUUUUGGUGUAACUAUCUUGUGGCGUGUUCCUUCUGUGCCUUCAGUGGCGGACCAUGGGGUCUCAAAUUUCAGAGGUGCCCUGUGCAACACCAAGAUUUGGUACUCCCCACUCAUCUCGCUCUAUUCUACACCAUAAUUGCAGCAUCUCUUGUGAUGCGAUGCCCUCAAGGCUCUGCGUCCAGUGUGACCAAACCAGUUGCACUCCCCUAAAUCUGCCUCUGGUACCUUGUGUUAGUCUUUGUAGGUCCAGUCACUUCAUUGCCACUUUCCUUAGAAUUUUCUGUACUUGUGGCUGUAGUCACUGAAAACAGUUCUCAAAGUUCUUGGGAGGCUGCGCUCUGUAUAUAAACUGGUUGUUCUGCUCAAACUGCUUAGCGUCGUCUACUUGAUUUUCUUCUAUUUGUAAACACGGACGUUCUGUAUCUGAGGGAUUAUGUAGGGCUGUUUUUGCCGGCUGUACAAAGCGGUAUGACGUGAUUGGCUUUAAAUGUUGGGAGUACUUCCUUCUCUUCUUUUCGUCGCUUUCAUUUACUAGUACCACUUUCAUAUUGCUUGCUCAUUAUUAUUUUCACAAAAAGGUGAUUCACAGUGAUAUAAAAGCAUCCUCACUUGUUCUUAAAACACACACUGUAAUGAUAGACAGUGAUGUGAACACUUGCAUUGCUUCGUAGUGGACGAUAUUAUUUGAUUCUGAGUAGCUUUAAAGCCUCCACGAAUUUACUAAACAAUAAGUAUUCACUUGUCAUAGACUCGUGUGUCACAUGUUUAACGUUACUAAGGAACUGGGCCUAGAUUGUAAAAUUUGCCUGUUUAUUUAGAAUGGGGGGGGGGGGCAAGAGGCCGAGGCCCUCCUAGAUUAUGAGGCCCUGGGAUGCAGCCUCCUCAGUCUGUAUGUAAAUGUAGCCAGUACUAUUUUUCUAGAAAAAAAGGUGCUGGAACUCACUAUGAACGCCUCCCUAAGUCUCUUAGAAUGGCAGUGGCACCAACCUGAGAGGUGCCAGAACCCACCUGAGAGCAGAUCCUCCAAGUGUCCCUAUUUUCCAGGGAUGUUCCUGAUUUUGAGAAGCUGUCCAGGUUUCUGAUUUGAUCCCAGAAUGUCCCACUUUUCCUUAGGACCUCCCUAUUUUCAUUGAAGAAAUGUUGGAGGGUAUGGAGUUAUCCGGCCUCCGAGCCAUCUGAAGGCAAUCCUGUAUAGGGAAGUUUUUAAAAAUGUUUCAUGUUUUAUGAUGUUUUUAUAUAUAUAUUGGAAGCUGCCUAGAGUGGCUGGGGCAACCCAGUAAGAUGUGUGGGGUAUAUAUAGUAGAAUGAUCAUUAUGGAAUGGGACAAGGACAUUGGAUAAAUGUUGGAGGGUAUGCCUAGGAGGUGCCGGAACCGAGUUCCUGUGAGUUCCCCCUGAAAAAAAAGGCCCUGAAUGUAGUACUGCUACUAGCCAUGAUGGCUGCACCCCUGUGGCAGCAUCCCUUGGAAUACCAGUUGCUGGAAACUGCAGGAAGGGAGAGUUCUCCUGUGCUCCAGUCCUGCUAGUGAGUUUCCCACUGAAGCAUUUGGUUGGCCAUGGUGAGAACAAGACGCUGGACUAGAUGGGCCCCCUUUGGCCUGAUCUUACAGGAUUCCAGCACAUUCUGGAGGUUGCCCACCCCUCUUGUUACUGGUUGAAAGUAAUACCUCAGCUCCACCACUGUCCCUUUUGGUCAGAGCCAUUCACCCUUGGGAAACAUCAGAAGAGGCUAAACUGUGGCCCUCCGGAUGUUGCUAUGUGACAACUCCAAUAACCCCUGACAGAUGGAGGUGCUGUUUCGUCAGUCUGCCUCAGGGACUAGGGCCUGGCCUGCUGUGGAAAGGGUUGUACUCCCCUUGAGCCUUGUGGUGGCAAGGAGUACAUUUACGCCAGGGCAUUUCGUGUACCAACCAUCACAUCUCUUGAGUCAGUCUGAUUUAGCACUAGUUACCCAUGCCUUCACUGCAUUGCUGUUCAGAUUACUGCAAACUGAGUUACGUGGAGCUACCUUAGAAGACUGCCCGGACAGUGCAGCGCUUCAAACGAUGCAAAAAUGUAAUGGCCAAGCAAUUGUUCCCCAGGCUCAGGAGAAGAUGUUUAAAGCCCUAAGCGGCUUAGUUCCUCUGGGGCUGCAUACCUCAUUAUGAACCUGCCCCCUUAUUAAGAGCUGCAGGAGAGACCCUUAUGAAGAUAUGACUGCCAGCAGAGGCCCACUUGACAGGCAUGUGGGGGAGAGCUUUUUCCUCCAUCACCCCCACAUGAAGGAAUGCAAUCACACCCACCCACAUCACUAUUGUUAGGAAAGGUAUCAAGGCACAGUUAAAACAAAAAACCAAGCAGUUUUCUAUAGACUCGAGAUUUUAAUGUAAAGAGUCCCCCCCCUACAAAAAGAGCAGAUUUUGGCUAACAUUCCCAAUGUAACAUGGUCAUGGUCUAAUUUUAAUCAAUUGUUUUUCUUUUUGUUAAAACCAUGUAUAGCCAUUCAAGCAGACCGAGAGUUGACUGCUUUUGAACAACUUGUGGUCAAUAUUCCUGCUACAGAGAACAAUCAGAGAAAAAUCUUUGUUGACAUUUAUUAAGGACUGGAAACUUCUUAUGGACUUUUUGCGUGAAAGAGAAAAUGAACUUGUAAUAUCUGGAUUUGAAGAUUGAGAAAAUGUUGGCUUAUAGAAAAUAGAAUAGUUGGAUGUCAAUUUCAGUGAAUACUUUGAACUAGUUGCUACAUUUAGCUGCCAAGAGAAUCAGAAGUCUUUUAAUCUUUUUCUAUUUUUCCCUUUUAAAAUUUUCUUUUUAUUUCUUUUUUCCUUCUCCCUUCUCUUUGCUCCUAUUUUUUUUAAGAUUAGAUUUUAAAAAUAUUUAUUUUAUUCUGGUAUAUAACAAAAAGAUGCUUUGUAUUGGGUAUAAACUUUUGCACAUCUUUUGAUGAGUAUCGAUUAAAAUAAAAUGUGUGGAGAAAAAAUUGUUCCUGCUACAUCAGUGAGUGAAGUACCAACCAUAUAAAAAAUAUUAACUUAGGUAGAAUUUGGCCAUCUUAUGACCACAAAAAUUCUCUGGGAAAUGGACCUUGAAGUAAUAAUCUCUAAUGAAAAAUGGAAAACACUUUGAGUUGGGGGGCAGAGGAUGUUUUAAAACUGUUUCGGCCCAAUUAAUGGAAUUGUCUUUGAAAUGCAUACAUAGGUGAUAUAUUUUCUGCUUGCAAAUAUCCCACAAGAUACCAGGGGCAACAUCAACCUGUUGGAAGGGAUGUGGGGAGACUGGAUCUUACAUUCAUAUGGAUGGUUUUGCAAAUCUGUUUACCCAUUUUGGGUUUUGAUAUUUAAAAAAAUGAGUUUAAUAUUCAAAGUGGACCUACAACCUUACCCUCUAACUUGCUUUACUUUGAAUAAAGGACAUAUCUACUCCACCAACUGCUCAUGAAGAACUUUUAAUGUUCCUCCUCACAGUGGAAAACAUGGAAAUAGCCAUGCUCUUGGGCCUGAAAACUGAAGUGUGAUACUCCAUAGCAUGGGCAAUAGCCUUGGCUGAAAAGCUGAUGAGCCAGAUUUGUGCUACCAAAGGGAAUUCUAACCAACAGCUUUUCUAUAUUGUGUGGCAACCAUUUUUGGAUGAUAUGGGUUAAGAAGACUGAGUUCUCAUGGUAAUAUAUGGAAAGAUUUCUUGGAGUGAUUUGUAAUAAUUUUAUUUGAUAUUUUUAAGCAACGUGGUUGAUGUGUUUUGACUUACGUUUUAUGUGUGAUGUGAAGAAUGAAAAUGAAUAAACAUUAUUUUAAAAACCU
rnacentral:lncRNA from 1 species